UCCCCCGAACCCUCAAUCUCUACCUUGCGGGUGUAUGUUGAGAGAUCCCCACACCAGGGAUCACAAGGGAACCUACGGCCGUCGUGGUCAAACAUAAUUGCACUCCCUUUAUGUCACGAUAACCGGGUUUUGUCAGUUUUUCUCAUUGUCGUUAAAAACUGAAUGGCGACUCCUAUAUUACUAGUCAAUUGGGUGUAAACUCACAGGAAAUCCAAUUACACUUGAUUGAAUAAAAAGAAUCGUCACACCCACGAGGGACGAGGUCACGCAUUAGCCUCGUGCUUUUUCGACCCCCUCACAACGAUAUAGUGAUCUGCUAGUCAUUCUAUACUAGCAAGAGUGGAGUUACGGGGUAUGUUGUGAGUUGGUAAGCUUUUGUGUCGAAGUGAAGGGGUUUGGGUAUAAUGUAGGCAAAAACAAUGGCUAUGCUUUUGCUCAACAAUGAUGCUAGUGCAGGUAGGUUCUAUCACAUGUGUGAUAUAGUCUAGGCUGGUAGUUUUGUUGGGUUCUACCGUGCUAGGAUGUUUUUUCUUGGGUGUAUGCUGAUGGGCAGUAACUGAAGGCCUUAGGCAUAAUUAGCACCCUGUUGAACAACAUAAAUACCUCGAUAGGUGUUGUAGCUUCCUAAAGCGUCAACAAUACGGGCUCUAAGUUGAGGUAGUAUUGUGUAUACGAGAGGUGCAUGAUGUGCGAGGCUUUGUUGCUGCACUCAAUGGGAUUGUUGUUGCUAUAUACGAAGUAAGUUUUUAUGUUAGAUAUUGGUCUACUGAAAUUCAUGAGCUUAUUCGUUUGAAAUUGAUGUUGUCGUUAUUUAGUCUUUGACUAUUUAUUGUGAUGCUUCACAAAGAUUCAGUCACUCUAGCACAUGUCUGAAAUCAUAUUCGUGCAGACUGUGCAUUCCUGUGGUACUCCAAAAUGAAAUCCACAAUCAUUUUGAGGAUUUCAGUGUCGACAGGGACCUCAGCAUGCUGUCAAAUAUUAGAAUGCACAAUCUGAUAUCCUCUUUGUUUGUUUGGGUUUUUUUUUCCGGUUGUACUCCAUAUGUCUCAUCAGAGCUUUACUUUUAACGCAAACAUGAUUUUGGAAUAAAGCUUGUAUUGACUGAAAUAUAAUUUUCAUGGUUAUGUUGUAUGAGGAAAUUCAGAUAAUAUUGGAGGUAGAACGAACAUUUUCCCUACAGGUAGCAGAAAAGGUGUUUAAGUUGAAGUGUCGUGAUCGGGUUUUAGGUUUUUGAGGAUGAAUAACACUUAAAGAAUUAGCGGGACCAUAACCUCGCAGGGGGAACAUCAAUCUUAGUUGAAUGAAGCAAACAUACAAAAUCAGGUCGUAACCAAUCGUGUGGAUACAGUAUAAGAAGUGUUGCUAAAAACGGUUAACUUGUCCAAGAGAGGACACUCCAACUAUGUAGAAUUUUUAUUUUUUUAUUUUUAAUUUUAGAUUGAACAAGAGUUAAUUAUCUAUUAGUUUUAGAAUUUAAAGACAAGGGGAUGUGAUUGUUGAGUUUCACAUAACUUGAAAUUUUGUAGUCAAAUUCUUUUGAGUAAUAAAAUUACCAUUUUGUUUUAA